GGCCGCUCCGCCCCCUGCGGCCCCUCACGGAUCGUCGCCCUGGGCCCGCUACCCACCUUGCUCUUCACUUCCAUGGUGCCGAGGCCCCGGCUACCCCCAGCGCUGCGUUCUGCCAGACCACAGGGAAGGUGCAGAGGACAACACAGCCUUCCUAAAGAUUUGCAGAGCAGUUGAAUUGGCCUUCUUCUGAUGUGAAAAAGCCUCCAGGAAGCUCCCAGCACUUGAAACCACCAUGCAGGUGAUGUUAUUGCUACAUAUUUAUUAGGUUUCUUUUAAGGACCUUUUUUUCUUCUCUUGCAUUCCUGGAGUUGUUGGAGUUCCUCACAGCGGGGUGUGGCCUCAUGCUUUCUGAGACAGCCAAGGUGAUAUAAUCUCAAGUCACUGGAACCAACCUCAUAAAAAGAGAGUUCUAUAAGGAGCUGGAUGUUAUCCUUGGUGGCGACCCCAUCUCCAUCGCCAAGAGCCCCAUGGAUACUCCGGAGGGCACAAAGUUAUUGAUGAAGAGGUGGAGUUAGAUGAGGAUGUGCAGGCAGGGUCGCCUGGUGGGGCAGGCAGCCAGAAACUGUUCUCCACUCCAGAGGUGUCUAGCAAGUCUCAGCAGUUGCUCUCCAGCGAGCAAGAAGCAGGAGAUGAGACUCCUGAUGUAGCCUUCAGGAACACCCCACGCACCUCGGCUGAGCAUCUCCACCAGAUAAGAAAGCACCCAAGAUGCAGCAAAUAAGAUAUGUUCCGGGAGGUCCUGCAGUGCUCCAAUGCAGAAAAAAGGGAUAGAAAGGAGAGCUGGGAAGCAGAACGGCAGGACAGAAAAGAGAAUCAUGCAUUUGUUAAGGAUGCUACUCAGUGGAUGCUUAAAGUAAUGGAGGAGCAAACACAGAUGCUGAAGUCCUUAAUAAUGCUGCAGACUGAGCAGAUCAGUGCUCGACCUCCACUGCAGCACAUUCAGAACCCUUUUCCAGCCCCCUUUCCCCCAACUCCACCCACACAUUCCUUUCCACCUUCCGGGACUUCUUGGUUUCCCCUUCACUUUACCCCCUCGGAAAGCUUUCACAAUGAUAGCUGGACCUACACACAGCUGUGAAAGUCUGCCCUUUCCUGGUUCCUCCUUUCCC